UAGAUUGAAGCCAGUUGUUUAR
rnacentral:tRNA from 1 species